UUGCUCCAUUGCUAGAUGUGAGAAUGAGUACUAUGAAAUAUAAAAUGAAGGGCCAAAAAGCUGUGAAUUUAACAAGAUCUUGAACACUUUUCUUGUAUCUAGAAGGAAAGACUGAAGUAGAUGAGCUAUUGGUGAUAAGGAAUUUAUAUUCAGAAAUUAUCAGACGUUUAUUUCAUAGAGGAAAUGAUCAGAACAAAUGAGCUACAAGAGUUUCUGCGUUUGUCCAUUUGAACAAAAAUCAAUCACAAGCCAUUUUGUCUAUGGAACAAUCAGCUCAAAUACCGAAUAGGUAUUGGAUUUCAAUGUCCCCACAAUCAGCUCGUAUAUUGUUAUUAUGAUGCCCAU
rnacentral:lncRNA from 1 species